UGGUGUAAAUUGUCUCUAAGCAUAUACAUGUGACAUAAUACAUUUAUUCAUCAUUUGCUAAAAGCAUCAUGUGGUGUUAUUAAAUGAUUCUGGUAGCAUAGUCCCAACAUCCUGCAGCCGUCAGUAAUAUAAACAACGCAAUUUUCAUUCUUGUGAGAUAAGAAAGUAUCCUUCAACGAAAAAGAUGCUGUUGGAUACAUUCUGUAUUUUGACCUUUUUGCCCUUGUUGGCGGCUUUACACCUUCGUGAUGAUUUCAUUAAUGUUGUUUUAAAAGAUUGCUAUUCGUUCGAAAAUAAUGACAAUGCCUUAACCAUGGGGACACUGGAACAGAUGAAGUGUAUGACGCAUCUUAUCUUAAAAAAUGACGAAAAUUUUCAACUCAACCCGAUCGAUUUGCUUCGAAUCCAUAUCAGCAUGACGCAUUUAAAGAAUGGUGGGCCCCUAACUCUGGACAUACCACCAAUAAUCGAGAAGAAAACGUUCGAUCUUCUCCCAAAAGUACCUGUUCACCUAUCGGAUUUGAUAAAGCGAAGAGUCAAAAGGUCGAGGAGAUAUGGAUAUGAUCGUGGAUACGGACGUAAACAAUAUUCACCAUCAGAA